rnacentral:lncRNA from 1 species
GGCGGUGGCCCUGCUCUAGGGAGGCCGGGUCUCUUCAGGGAAACAGAAGCUGCCCACAGCCAGAAAGCCAGGACCACCCGAACUGGACAGGGAGCAGGGAGGGAGGAGUGGUCGCACGGAGCGUACCUGAUUCAACAGGAAAUCAGUUAUUUUCUAAAACAGCCCCUACCAGAGCCUCCUGAACUCUGUGGGCACCACGUGCUGCUGUGAGCAUCUGCCCAGACAGUGACCCGCCACAGGCCCCGGGCGUCUGUGGAAGGAGUUUUGUAAAGGAAAAAAAAACACACACACACAAACAUUUUUUCAAUGUAGCAAAAUCAAACUUAAAAAAAAAAAA